AGUGAACGCUGGCGGUAGGCCUAACACAUGCAAGUCGAACGGCAGCACAGGAGAGCUUGCUCUCUGGGUGGCGAGUGGCGGACGGGUGAGGAAUACAUCGGAAUCUACCUUUUUCGUGGGGGAUAACGUAGGGAAACUUACGCUAAUACCGCAUACGACCUACGGGUGAAAGUGGGGGACCGCAAGGCCUCACGCGAUUAGAUGAGCCGAUGUCCGAUUAGCUAGUUGGCGGGGUAAUGGCCCACCAAGGCGACGAUCGGUAGCUGGUCUGAGAGGAUGAUCAGCCACACUGGAACUGAGACACGGUCCAGACUCCUACGGGAGGCAGCAGUGGGGAAUAUUGGACAAUGGGCGCAAGCCUGAUCCAGCCAUACCGCGUGGGUGAAGAAGGCCUCGGUUGUAA
rnacentral:rRNA from 1 species